rnacentral:rRNA from 1 species
UACGAAGGGGGCUAGCGUUGCUCGGAAUCACUGGGCGUAAAGGGUGCGUAGGCGGGUCUUUAAGUCAGGGGUGAAAUCCUGGAGCUCAACUCCAGAACUGCCUUUGAUACUGAGGAUCUUGAGUUCGGGAGAGGUGAGUGGAACUGCGAGUGUAGAGGUGAAAUUCGUAGAUAUUCGCAAGAACACCAGUGGCGAAGGCGGCUCACUGGCCGAUACUGACGCUGAGGCACGAAAGCGUGGGGAGCAACAGG